rnacentral:lncRNA from 1 species
GAGAGAAAGCAGAAGGCGUAAAAUCUAUGGAAGAAAUCACAAAGAUAGAAAUGGGCAUGGGAAGCUUGUGGGACAGAGACUGGGAGAAACAGAUGGACAUAGCCUCUGCUUUCCAGCCCUGAGGAUUCAAAGGUGAGUGAUACACAGUCCAGAAGAGAGAGGAGAACAGUCAAGGCAAAUCAGGAACCAGCCCGGGAAACAGAGACCCACAGAGGACAUUGAGGCAAGUGCAUGACUAAGCCUCCCAUGACAGCCAGGUGGGCAGGGAAGGAGGAGGAAACGGAUGGCUGUGGAGGCCUUGAGACUUGCCCAUCCCAGAAUCCAGGAAGCGGUCCCUGGGAUCCAAGCACCAGCCAAAGAGCCCCAGAAAGGAAAAUAACCUUGAAAUUGCAGAGUUGGGAGCCAAAAUAGA